rnacentral:rRNA from 1 species
GUACACGCUGUGACUAGCAUAUCAAUAAGCGGAGGAAAAGAAACUAACAAGGAUUCCCUCAGUAACGGCGAGUGAAGCGGGAAGAGCUCAAAUUUGAAAUCUUGAAAGGUCACCUAUCACGAAUUGUAGUUUAAAGAAGUGUUUUCUGUUACGAUCGUAAUAUAAGUUCUUUGGAAUAGGACAUCACAGAGGGUGAGAAUCCCGUCUAUGAUUGCGAUUUGUAGCUUUGUGAUACACUUUCAAAGAGUCGGGUUGUUUGGGAAUGCAGCCCAAAACGGGAGGUAAAUUUCUUCUAAGGCUAAAUAUUGGCGAGAGACCGAUAGCGAACAAGUACCGUGAGGGAAAGAUGAAAAGAACUUUGAAAAGAGAGUUAAAUAGUACGUGAAAUUGUCAAAAGGGAAGCGUUUAACACCAGUGUUGUUUUCUGAAAAUCAACCUCUGUUAGCUUUAUGCAUGUUUGUUUAGACCUAAUCAGCUAUCUUUCAUGUUCUAUUGUUUGCAGUGGUGCACUUUUCAGGUUUACAGGUCAACAUCAGUUUUUUUUACCGUAAAAAAGUUAAAGAAAGGUAGCUCAUGGCUCCGGUCGUGAGUGUUAUAGUCUUUUUCCUAUGCGGUAGGAGAGACUGAGGUCUGCAGUGUAGGCUAUUUGGCUAGAUACUCAGGUGCUAUGUGAUACCAUUUCAUAAACAACUUGUUGAUUAUGUUUUGUCUAUUGCAUACUCGCUUGUACUAUCAUACCUACGCUUAGGAUGUUGAGUAGCGACAUACGCAC